rnacentral:rRNA from 1 species
GACGGAGGAUGCGAGCGUUAUCCGGAAUUAUUGGGCGUAAAGAGCACGUAGGCGGCUGAGCAGGUCAGUGGUUAAAACUGGAGGCUCAACCGCGGGUGGGCGAUUGAAACUGAUCGGCUAGAGUAUGGAAGGGGUGGAGGGAAUUCCCGGUGUAGCGGUGAAAUGCGUAGAUAUCGGGAAGAACACCCGUGGCGAAAGCGCUCUUCUGGGACAUAACUGACGCUGAGACGCGAAAGCUAGGGGAGCGAACGGG